GUGGAUAUGGCACGAGAAGCUAAGAUAAGUCAAAUUACCCUUUGACCUUUUUUCUUACUGUAAAUGCCACCCACUGAUCUAUUUUAAAUAAAGCAGGGAGCAUCUAACUGAUAUAAUAAUAUAGCACCAAUCAGAGCAGAUAACGCCAAUAUGCUUCCACAUCAACGAGACUAACAUUCUUUACUGUCACCUCUCUUGGAUAGGACUCUUACAACAAGAAUAGCAGAGUAAAAUGAAUAUAAAUUAAGAGAAAAGAAACAAAAGCAAUUGUUCAAGUGGAGGGAGCUGCAACUGUGCAUAGAAGAUACAUAGAAACAUAUUAUACACAAAACAAUCUGGACAAGCUACAAAGAAUGAUCCAACAUUUUAACAGGUCUAUCAAGGUGUGGAAAGGAGAAAAAAUCAAGGUAUCAUGCCGGACUCAAAGUCUGACUACCAAAUAUGUACUCAAUGCAUGUAUCGCCCAUAUUAUGGGUAUUCUGACAGUAUUCACGUGUCUCUUACAGGGGAAAGUGACAAGUACGUGAGGGCACAAUGAAGGGCAGAAAUACCAUUGCACAUAGGACUAAAGCCAACAGUGUCUCUCUCCUCAACGCGUGAUACCAUUUGCAUUAAGUUCCAAAUCAGAGCAUCGCACAAAGGAAUCAAUCAAAAUACUCUUAGCAGCAUACCUGUUAUAUCAAUCUUAUGUGAGAUUCCAGCAGCAGUCAAAGACUUUGAGAUUAACUUGGCAACUUCUUCAUAUUGUUGAUUCUGAACCAGUGGAAAAACAGUGCAUUUGAUGGGAGCCACUAGUGGUGGGAAGCGGAACACAUUUAGUUGCUCAUCUCCACCUUUACUCGGCCUUGUGUAGAAUGAAUGCUCAUAAAGACAAUAUAUUAUCCGGCCAAUUCCAAAUGAGGGCUCAAUCACUGAAGGUGUAAACACCCUUUGGUGCUCUUUCUUUUUCUCCUUGGAAAUAGAGACCAUGCUUUUCUUAAUGGUGACAUUCUUCCCGAGAGUACAUACAUGGAACCCCACCUCCCCCUUGGAUUCCAGAUCAGCCUUCAUCUCCAUAGCCACCUUUUCUUCCAUUGCACAUUUGAUGGGGGCCACUAGUGGUGGGAAGCGGAACACAUUUAGUUGCUCAUCUCCACCUUUACUCGGCCUUGUGUAGAAUGAAUGCUCAUAAAGACAAUAUAUUAUCCGGCCAAUU
rnacentral:lncRNA from 1 species